rnacentral:misc_RNA from 1 species
UGGUUCUGGCAUCGAUGAAGAACGCAGCGAAAUGCGAUAAGUAGUGUGAAUUGCAGAAUUCAGUGAAUCAUCGAAUCUUUGAACGCACAUUGCGCCCCUCGGUAUUCCGUGGGGCAUGCCUGUUCGAGCGUCAUUUAAACCCUCAAGCACUGCUUGUUGUUGGGCGCAUGUCCCCCGCCACCGGGGGACUCGCCUCGAAUCCAUUGGCGGCCCCGGGUAGGGCUUCCGAGCGCAGCAGACCCGCGCCUCGGGCCCCGCCCCGCGGCGACCCACGAAGUGGCAACCACUCUGACCUCGGAUCAGGUAGGGAUACCCGCUGA